rnacentral:pre_miRNA from 1 species
UAUUUANCUCCGUCCCAAAAUUCUUGUCUUACAUUUGUUUAGAUACGGAUGUAUCUAACACUAAAAUGUAACUAGAUACAUCCAUAUUUAGACAAAUUUAAGACAAGAAUUUUGGGACGGAGGGAGUACAAA